UACAGAGGUCUCAAGCGUUGUUCGGAUUCACUGGGCGUAAAGGGUGCGUAGGUGGUUGUGCAAGUCUGAUGUGAAAUCUCCGGGCUUAACCCGGAAAUGGCAUUGGAAACUGCAUGGCUAGAGGGUUGGAGGGGGGACUGGAAUACUUGGUGUAGCAGUGAAAUGCGUAGAUAUCAAGUGGAACACCAGUGGCGAAGGCGGCUUGCCAGAACGCGCUCGACGGUGAGGGAUGAAAGCUGGGGGAGCAAACCGG
rnacentral:rRNA from 1 species